rnacentral:misc_RNA from 1 species
UUUCACUAUCAAGUCCGUUUGGUACUUCUAUCAGUCGUAUAAAGUUAGGAAGACAUGUCUCUUGUAUCUAUAAUAUAUGUUUGGAGUGAAGCUGAAGCUUUUUAAUUUACCGCAUGUUUAAGCUUGUUUCAUUCGAGCAAAUUAUAUACUAUCUUUACUUCGCCUGGGAAAUUUUAGGUGAGGUAGAGAUUUGGUUUGGAAAAGUAGUUUUAGGA